rnacentral:lncRNA from 10 species
GAGAACCUGCGGGAGAGCGCCCGGGCUUGCUGCUUCCCGGACCCGCGCGUCUCUCGAGCACCCUCGUCCCACCACCUUGUGAGGCCGUAGUGUUAUUUUUAUUUUUUAGAUCAGCAGACUGAGACUCGAGGUGACGUCACUCCGCAGAGAGGUUAGCUGACUUGAAGAAAACGGGUAUCUCCUCUUUCCAUUUCGCCCGUGUAAACAGCCGAACUGCCUAUUAUAAAAGCAUGGACUGCCAGCAUUGGAGUGGUCCUUAGAGGCCUAUUAUGAAAUCAUAGAAUGUCUGCAUUGGAAUCGCCUCACCUCCUUUUACCGCUGGAGAAGCCGACGGACAGACGGGCAGCGACCCCCGCCGUCGCACAACCCGUCUAGGCAGAGAGCGCAGGAGACGGGAGGGCGGCAGGGACACAUCUCCCAGCCAAGGACCUCCUGGGCCCGCAGAGGCCGCGACAGGUUCCCCCCACAGAGGGAACCAACUCUGCCGCAGGUUGAUGUGGACUUCAAGCCUGCAGAACGGAGAGCCCAUUUCCAUUGCUUAAAGCCACCUCGUGUGUGGUAUUUGUUAUGGUCCCUGUACACUCCCUUCCCUCCCUCUCCCAAGUCCAGUCCGCAGCUCGCUCAUCACCAGGCUCUUUUCCAUGACUCUUUCUUGAUCAGGCCUUUUUAUCGUCCUCACCACAGGUUAGAGCACAGCAGACUGAGCCACCCAGAACUGGCCCCUCCGGUGGACCAGCCCCUGCGGAUUCACAGACCACUGGUCCUGGAAGGGACCUUGUCAAGCAGGCCCAUAAGGUAAUCCCUCCCCGGAAAGAGAAGAUCACAGAUUUUGUCAUAUUAAAUACAUUGUAGAAAUUCAUGGUAGCAGGGGCAAGAUCAUUUAAACAAAACAGAAAGUUUCAGAGAGAGAAAAAGCCAAGGACAAAGAUUAAUCAUUUUUCUGCUU